CCUACGGGAGGCUGCAGUGAGGAAUAUUGGUCAAUGGGCGCGAGCCUGAACCAGCAAAGUAGCGUGAAGGAUGACUGCCCUACGGGUUGUAAACUCCUUUUAUAAAGGAAUAAAGUGAGGCAUGUGUGCCUUUUUGUACGUACUUUAUGAAUAAGGAUCGGCUAACUCUGUGCCAGCAGCCGCGGUAAUACGGAGGAUCCGAGCGUUAUCCGGAUUUAUUGGGUUUAAAGGGAGCGUAGAUGGGUUGUUAAGACAGUUGUGAAAGUUUGCGGCUCAACCGUAAAAUUGCAAUUGAUACUGGCAGCCUUGAGUACAGUUGAGGUAGGCGGAAUUCGUGGUGUAGCGGUGAAAUGCUUAGAUAUCACGAGGAACACCGAUUGCGAAGGCAGCCUGCUGAACUGCCACUGACGUUGAUGCUCGAAAGUGUGGGUAUCAAACAGGAUUAGAUACCCCUGUAGUC
rnacentral:rRNA from 1 species